GCUCCUGUGGCCUAGUGGUUAGAGCGUCUGUCUAGAAUGCGGGAGGUCGUGGGUUCAAUCCCGGUCGAGUCAUAGCA